ACAUGGGGGAUGUUGACAACAAGCAAAAUUUAGCCUGAAUUAUUUAUCUGUGCGUUGUUUUGGGAACAAAAUGAAAGUUAUUUUUAAUGAAACUAGAUUUUUAAAAAAUAUUUAUUUUGUAGUUAUAGGUGGACACAAUAUCUUCAUGUUAUUUUUAUGUGGUGCUGAGGAUCAAACCCAGUGCCUCACUCAUGAUAGGCAAGCACUCUACCUCUGAGCCACAGCCCUAGCCCUAUGAAACUAGAUUUUUUUUCUCUAAAUGAUGUGCUUUUCCUAAAUGAUUUCAAUCAUUUUACUAGAUGGACUUUUUUUAAAAAAAACUAGAAUAUUUGCCAAAUUUUCCUUUGGAGAACAUGUGAUAAAGGUAAGUUUAAAAUCCUCCGUGGUGUUAUUUAUCCCUGCUGAUGGUUAACCCUCUCUUCCUGUGAUAACCUGGCACUCAAGUUGCUGUGGCCUGGCUCUUACUCUGGAAGGAGCCGGUGUUGUACAUCAUACAGAUAGCCGAGGGUUUGUGUGACACUGAUGCACAGAGGCACUUGUAUGACAGCCUGAAGCUCUCACAGGGCAUCCUGUCUCAGUUGGUGCUCCUUUUUCCCCAUUCUCCCUUCUGCCAUUACCCUUGGAAAAUCCCAGACUUCAGGGCUAGUGGAGCUUGUCCAGGGAUGGUAGAUAGGGCUCCUCUUUUGUGCCACCCUGGUCUCUCUAUAGUUGUGCCUGGAGCAUGUGAAAAAGAGAAAAGAAGGUGGUGAUCUGGCUCAGCAAUCUCUCAUGUUGGGGCGUGUAGAAAGGGUUCUACUUCCUGCUUCUUUUUCCUGGUUUAGUCCUGCACAGGAUUCCCAGUCCUGGUUUCUGUGCUCCACCUCGUUUCUCCAGUAGAUGAUGAAAUUUCCAUUUCCCUGAUCUGAGCAGUUUCAGUCGUUCAAUGCUUGGUUACAUAAGGAUAUCCUGUGAUCCUGUAAUUAGGUUCAAUGUAAAUAGUGUUGCUUUAUAAGACCACUUCACUCUCUCUUCAGUCACAUGAAUGUUGCAAGACUGAGUCAAGAAUACCAAGAAUAGGCUGGGCACCACGGCAUAUGCCUGUAAUCCCAGCAGCUCAGGAGGCUGAGCCAGCCUCAGCAAAUUAUCGAGACCCUAAGCAACUCAGCAAGACCCUGUCUCUAAGUAAAAAAUAAAAAAGGGAGGGAGAUGUAACCCAGGAGUUAAAUGCCCCUGGGUUCAAUCUCUAGUACCAAAAAAAAAAAAAAAAGAAUAGCAUUUGUUAAGUCUCAUCAUACUUUUGUAGUCAUUUUCAUAAGAAUUCACAAAGAACAAUGGUAAACACAUAUAUAUGUGUAUGUGUAUACAUGUGCAUGCGCGCGCGCGCGCGCACACACACACACACACACACACACACACCUAUUUCUUACACAACUGGGGUUACCAAUGGUCCUAGCUGCCUGAGACUGAGAGGCUUCCUGGAAUGUAGGACAGUCACAGGCAAAUUGGAACAGUUCAUCACCCUAACAUAAACAAUACUUUUUCUAAAUUUUUAUUAUCAAACAUAAUACUGCCUUCCAGUCUCAUGCCCUCUGCCUAUAGGAAAACUGUGAUGUCAUGGUCUGUGGAUUGCACCUGGUCCUCUUGUACAUUCCCAUUGUCCUCUUAAAGACCAGUUAGCUGGACACAGUGAUUUGGGGUUCAAUGCUUGGAGGCAGGAAGAUCACAAGUUCAAGGCCAACC
rnacentral:lncRNA from 1 species